rnacentral:pre_miRNA from 1 species
AAUAAGUUGAUUUUUAGUUUUUACAUACAAUCUUUGAUUUUUCGUCUUAUUUAAAUUUUUUUGCGAUCAAUAUUUUUAUUUUUAUUAGAUGAUAAAAUAUGAAUAAUACUUUACACGUGACUAAUUUUUUAAAGUUUUUUAUAAUUUUUAAAAUAAGACAGAUGGUCAAACGCUAGACACAUAAACC